GGCAAGGUGGCUUAGGGGUUAGCACGCCUGACCCGCACCUCCAAGGCUGUGGGUUCGAAUCUCACCUGUGCCC